rnacentral:tRNA from 1 species
UGGGUUGUGGCUCAGUGGUAGAGCACUUGCCUAGCAUGUAUAAGGAAGGCCCUGGGUUCAAACCUCAGCACUACAU